GCUGGGUGUGAUGGCAUGCGUCUGUAGUCCUGGCUAAUUGGGAGGCUGAGGUGGGAGGAUUGUUUGAGUCCAGGAGUUCUGGGCUGUUGUGCGCUAUGCCGAUUGGGUGUCUGCACUAAGUGCGGCAUCAAUAUGGUGACCUUCCGGGAUUGGGGCACCGCUAGGUUACCUAAGGAGGGGUGAACCAGCCCAGAAACUGAGCGGAUCAAAACUCCAGUGCUGAUCGAUACUGGGAUUGCGCCUGUGAAUAUAGUCUCUGCACUCCAGCCUGGGCAACAUACAGAGACCCUGUCUUUUU
rnacentral:SRP_RNA from 1 species